AGGGAUUUAGCUCAGCGGCAUAAGCGCCUGCCUUGCAAGCAGGCAGUCGUGAGUUCGAUCCCCAGUACCGA
rfam:Cavia porcellus supercont2_98 genomic scaffold, whole genome shotgun sequence.